UUGCUUCAGUAGCACAUACACUAAAAUUGAAACAAUACAAAGAAGAUUAGCAUGGCCUCUGUGUAAGGAUGACAUGCAAAUUUGUGAAGCAUUCCAUAUGUUU